GAGUAGCUUUGGACCCGUGUCUGCCGGUAGAUCCCCCGUCUUAGUGCGGCUGACUACCGGCGCCGUGUCCCGUCAUUCCCGUGGCUUACGCUGCUGUUGCCUUUCAAGUGCUUGCGUGCCGGUACCCGACCAACGUGAAUUGGUGCUUCGUACACGGUUGCCUCGCGGUGGACACCUUCGUUGUACCGCUGCGGCCUAACGGCCCUUGCGGCGUUUCCUCAUGGCACGCUUGCGUGAAUGUUGCCAUCAAGGAAACCUCGCUCCCGCUGUUGGUCUCGGAUGUCGCUCACGAUAAAGUCUCUUGGCCCUUUUGGUUGCCUUGACCCGACCCUUAAGCUGCUCUCCGUAUUUGAGAACACCCGUGAACAGGUGUUGCCUCUGCCUCUCCACAGUUAGUGGUAGGAUACGCAACAUUCUGCGCCGAUCCUCAAUAUAGUAGGAUGAGCUUAGCUCGCUCAAUCGCGACAAGCGGCCCGGUCGCCGCCUCAGCCUGGCUACACAAGUGGACGGGCGGGCAAAGACCGAUGCUGGGCGUCAACGAGGACGUGCUACCUGGUUGAUCCUGCCA
rnacentral:misc_RNA from 1 species